AAAGCAAAGAACAAAGGGAAAAGAAUAAGAACAAACCCUAGAGAGGAAAAUUCAAGAGAAAAUUGUUGAAUUUUAAGGAACCUAGCAAUCAAAGGUAAGAUUUUUUAAUUUUAGCUUAAGAUCUAUCUUACCCAAGCUUUCUUUUUCAUUUUCUAUGGAUGAAACACAGGUUUCCAUGAGGGAAUACAUGCUGGCCGAACAUUGGGAGAGAGGUUUUGAUGAUGAAUUUUGCUAGAUUUCAUGAUAUCUUAGUGUUUUUAGUUGUUUGAUGAUGUUUGGCAUGAAAAACUAGCAAGAAAAUCACGUGCCCUUCAAAAACCCUCUUUGGCCGAAUUUAUUAGGUGACAUGUUGAUGAUGGAUUUUGUUGUGUUUCAUGUUAUUUAGCUUGUAAUUGAUGAUUUAUGGUAUCGAAUAUCGAAAUCGAAAUAAGUUUCGGUUACGGUGAAUUAAGUCACAAUUAAGCUCAUUGAAGUACUUUGGUGUAUUUGGAAUAUUGGAAGUGUAAUGAAGAUAUUUGGAGUUGAAUUGGAUGUUUUGGCUAAUUAAACAGGGCAUAGUGCGAGUUAGGUAGAAUGCCAAUUCAAUCCGAUCAUAAUUGAACCCACGUAGAACAUCGUCUUUAAGUGAUUAUUCGAACAAUUCUCAUUCAAUUUCAUGCAUUCAUAUAGAGCCUGAAAUAUUUUUAUAACAGUUUGGCACAAAUAUAUUGAAUUACGUGUCGUGUAUUAUGUAUAGGUGGUGAGCCCUCUGAUAAGGGUAAAGACAUCAUACCCGAGGACCAAGAAUAGGAGUACUCUAAACUUCCGCCAUUGUGAGUAAUCAAAUGUUCAUUUUAACUAUUUAAAGUAGUUUAUAUUCGUUUUUAUGAUUUUAAAGAAAAAUGAGUUUAAAUUGUAAAUUAUUAUGUUUUAAAAUUGAAGUGUUGAUUAAACAAAAUGAGAUUUAUAACUUGUUUUGAAAUUGAAUACUGGUUUUGGAAAUUGAGUAAGUGAAGACUGUAUACUCGUGUUAUACAUAUGUUUUGACAUAUGGUUUGAAUUGAUAGCUUAUGACAAUGUGAUGGCAAGCAUGGCUAGAUUUGUGUUUGUGUGGAAUAUAUGAACUGUUUUGCUUGGCCUUGAUAGGCUGGUAAUAUUAUAUUAGCCAUGUCAUGCUAUCAAAAAUUUUAUUGAAUUGGUGGGUUAUUUGAUUAGCUUACUGUAGUGGGUGGGUUUCCGUGGACCAGCCUAUGAGAGGGGCACGAUAAACCCUAGUUAUAUUUUACCUUAGUAUGAGAGGUGCGGAGGGUAUCUCUUAAGGUAAAGUUAGAGUUCACCUCACGCCGAACCACCACGUGAGGGUGAAACUCAGCCAACGUCAAGGAACGACUGUGCUUUUAAAUGUAAAAGAAUAAGUAUUAUACUCAUAUGUUAUUCUAAUAGCCUUGGCGGACUCGGUUGGAUGCCCCGACGCAAGGUGUCAUCGAGUGCAAGUUUUGGCACGAGCCAAGUUUUUACGAGAAUCAUAAGCCUUGUUGAUUUUGAUGAAAUGAAAUUGAUUUAUAUGGGUGUAAAUGAGAUUUGAUGUUAUGAAUCAUAUUAUAUUGAGAUGUUUUAAAUUGUCUCAAUUUACUCAGCUUUAGAUGUUAUAAAUGAAAUUUUCUUACUCACUGGGUUUAUAAAAACUCACCCCUCUUUUUUACUCAUUUUAGGCUCAAGAUAGUCUGUAUACAGUCGAUUUUGUCGAGGGUUGCUUUUGGAUUUGCAUCUUUAAAAAUCGUAGGUCUACAGUCUUGUAUGUUUUCGGUUAUUUUUGGGGCCCAUAUGUCAUUGUAAAAUAUUUUGUAUACCUGGCUGCGUAUGCCAUUGUAUGUAAGAAUUUAUUUUGCUUUUGCGCUACAAAAAUUAUUUACGCAGAGUUCUAUAAAUAUUAUUUUAAAAGAAAAUAAAAUAUUUUAUUUAAUUUGAAUAGCUAUAAUUUCACUUUAAAUUGAUGAAUUAGACAACGAAACUUAUUUUUAGACAUGAAAUAUAUGCUUAUUACUUGUAUAUCAUAUUUUUACCAGGGUUCAAAAAUUUUGGGUAAAAUGAUCAAAAUACCCAUGUGUAGUAGAAAUUACUUUUUGAUUUUUUUUUAUUUAAAAUUAGUUUAUAUUUCUUUAAAACAUGGUAUUUAAUAACUGUUGCUCACAAGGGAGAAGUAAAACUGAUGCGAAAGCCUUGUGAGGUUUCGGUUGGCAUUUCGGGUAAUGAAUGUCAAUUGAGACAUCGCGGCGGUUGUCAUGGGGUGGAUGAGAAUUUCGGGUCGUGACAAUUAAAGUGGUAUCAGAGCCUUUAGUUUUUAAAGUUAUUUUAAAAACUACAGUGUCAGUGUGGCCCUAAGUUAGGUUAGAUUGAGUUGAAUGUAUGCAUCUGCAUAUAGAAAUUGAAGUGGUCUAAACUAGUUUUGGUUCUUUUUAUAAACCAUUAUGCCUCCUCAACGUGGACCCCUACCUCUUGCUAGAUCAGUUAGGAGGGGGAGAGGCCAUUCUCGGUAUAGUCAGCCAGAUCCUGUAGAGGAGGAAAUUGUAGUUCAUAAGUGGUAUCAUUGUCCUGAUUUGAGAUGCCACCUGGGACACCAGCUGCUGUUGGAAAAAUCUUUAAACAAAAUGAUCCUAAUGAAAGAUUAAUGUAAUGACAUAUCCCUUCGAUUAAGAAUGGAGGAAAGUGGAACUGGACUAAUAGGCCUGUAGUAAUUUAAUUAUUUGGAGUUAUAAUUUGAGCCCAUGAUUGUUAAUGGGAAGAAAAUUAGAUGACUAUGGAUUGCAUUUGAGGUCAAUAUAAAGAAGCACGUGUGAUAAUAGUAAUAAGGGGCAUGCUUUGACUGAAACGACUAGUGAUGGUUAUAAUUCACUUGAAGUUUACAAAUCUAAGCAUGGAGAAAGGUAUAAACCAAUACUUAUGUGCAUCGAGGUAAGUGCAUUAUGUUAAUUGAGCUUGUUAUACCCAUAUAUAAAUGGUGUGGGGCUUCAGAAAUAUUUUAUGUGUAUAGUAGCUUAGACGGAGCUGGUUUUGAUUUCAAUCAAGUGACUGUGAGAUUCCAAGAAUUGAUUUGACCUAUUGUGGGAUUAUACUUAUAAGUACAUGAAUUAGCUUAAGGGUAAAAAUCUAUGAUUAUUAUGAUUAAUGUGUGAUCGUGAAGUAAAAGGUUAGUAAGCAAAUAUGUUAUAAGGAUGAGCUUGAAUUUUGUUAUGCUUAGCAUGAAACCAAAGGAUUAAAGCACUAGUUAUGGAUUUAGUAGUUUGAAAUUAAAUGACAUGAAAAUGACAAAUUUAGUCUAAGUGCCAUAUGGAGUUCUAUAUGAAGAUCGAUAUAUGAAUUACUUUAAAGGUUAAUUUAAAAAUGUGUUUGAUUCAACAUGCAACCUAUGAUGUAAAUGAUUAGUCUCAAUGUGAUCUCCUCAGAGUAAGGAAAUUAGAAAAUGUUGAUUUUUGGAUAAGCUCUAAGAGGGAGCUUCUGUAUCCUAAGUUUAGGACAAUUUUGAUCUUAUGACCACAAAGGCGAAGUGCAAUAAUUAAGUAAAUUAUUCACUUUAUAGAUGUGAUUGGUUAAGGAUCGAUGAGUAAAGUCAAGACCUUAACAUUAAGUGGUGUAUAAAUUGACAUUUAUGUAUUUAAGAGUUAUUUAGAGACAAUUGCUUAAUCAAGUUUGCACUAAAUGUUAUAAUAAAGGUGUAUGAUGGCUAAUGGUGAAAUAUGCCUAAAGGUUGAUCUUGGUAUACCACAAAAAGGGUGAAGUAAACAUGUCGAAAUUGAUGUUCUAAUAGCACACGUGAGAUAGAAAGCUAGUUUUGCGAAAUGUGGUUUUCAUGAUCACAAAUAUACGAAGGAUAUAAAUAUGUAGGCAUAUGCUUGAAGUUGGACAUUUUGUGAUUCACAUGCAGCUUGUGGAAGGAGAUAUCCCAUGAAAGGAUUUAGUUUAACUAGUGCUUACAUGAUUAUAAGUUUGGCAAAAGAUUGAAAAUGCCUGAGCAUUUAUGUGGCAGGCAUUGUGAUAGGCUAAAAACCAUAUAUACAAAUAAGAUCGAUAAGAUGAAUGAUGGGAGAAAAAUGGAUGUUGUUAUGAUGAGCAUAAGAAGCUUAAGGAUGAUCAAUGUAAAUACAUUAAGUUAAUUGGUAUGGUCCGAAUUAUGAACAGGGACACCUUAGGAGAUUUUAAAAUAAUGUCCAAUAGGGUCAAUGAGCUCAAAUGUUAUUGAGCAUAUAUUGAAUUGUUAAAAUUAUAAGUGGUUUUGGAAGGUAAGCUUUUGAUUGUUUAAAUCCUCCACUGAAUUCCAUCACAGGAUGUGUUUAAGUGUUUUGGGAAGUACAUUGAAACGCAUAAGAGAAUAUAUUAGUUAAAUUGCUAUAAGAGGUCGAAAUGGGAUGACCAUGAGAGACUCGUGAGUAACCAAGCAAUGUAUAGGUAAAUGUGCAAAGGAGCUAUGAUUGGUAAAUAAGGGUAGAACUUUAAUGAUGGGAUAGUGUUCACGGCUUUAGGCAUAAAUUGUGAAACGAGCUACCCCCACAAGUUUCAAUUUAUUUUUGAGAAAUUAUCAAGGCAAAGUACUCGAUAAGGGUACGCAAAGACUGAAUUGUGUUACGAAUAUUUAGAGAACGAGGGUGAUAUGGUUUGAUUAAAUGAUAUUACCCUUGGUGAAGAAAUAGAAAUAAGCUAUGGGAAUUGUAGAGAUCCACUUAGAAAAAGCUGACGAUUUAAGAUUUGACUAUUCCCCACAAAAUGAUGAGCAUGAUCUGAUUAAAUGUGGGAGGAGAUGAUUUUAAACUAAAAUUGGCGGUUAUUUCAAUAUUACAAGUAAUUCAUUGAACUUGCUAUGUCUAAGAUUACUUGAAGUUGAAAUUUUUAGAAAUAUACGUAGGAAUACGUAUGUUGCAAAUUGAUACAAAAACUCAUACAGAGUUAUUUUUAAUUUGACUCAAUGAUGAUGUUCUAUCAGUGGUUAUAGCACUAGAUACUGAUUAAGAUAAUCUAUCAAUGAUCUUGGCAGUGAACAAGUUGAUUAUAAUGCUGUCAGCUUAAAGGUAAGUGUUUAAACUUCUGGUAUGAACUCAAAAUCCUAUCAUACUGCGAUCAAUUUGGUGUUUUUAAUAGAGCCUGAGAGGCUUGACAUAUAAACUAGCUUAAUUGUAAGCUAAACUUUGUUAGGCUAUUAUGAAGUACGCAAUUAGAGAAGUAUGCCAUGAAUUUAGUAUCCUAAGGGGCAAUGGAAAACAAUGUAUUAGUUUUGGUAUAACUCCAAUAUAUAGUUUCUAUAUAUGAAGCUUUGGGGAAAAAUUUAUAACUUAUGCAUGAGAGUUGUGUAUUUGAAUUUAUAUAAGAAAGGUUUAAAAUCUGCUUGUUUGGCAUAAAGCCCAUGAUUGAGAAUGAAUAAUUAUGGAUUUAAUUUUUAAGGUAAUAAGACUAAAAGAAGUUACUUUCAGAAAGGAACUUUAAAGGGGAAUUUUGAGCAAUUUACUUUUUAAGUGGUUGAGCUAUUGAUUAAAGGGAUUGAUGAAGACUAUAAAGAUAUAUACAAGGAUAUCGUUAAUUAUUGGAAUGCCUUGUGGUAUAAGCUGAAAUUAUCUAGUGAGCACUCGAUCAUGAAAGUAUUGGAGUUUUGUUUUUGGGAAUAAGGUUACUAAUGGUUAUUAGAUUUGAAUCAUCCAUGAUGUUAAAUAUAUCUAAAAUAAAUAAAGCAUGUUUUAUCCUUACGUAUUAUAAAAUGCUCAAAUGGAAAUUGUAUAAAAGUAUGUAAACUGAAAUAGAAAUUAGUUGACAAGUUAGACCCAUAGUCAAUGGUUGAAUAAAUUCUCGAAUGUCAGAAGGUUUGAUAAAAGAUCAAGGUUAUCCGAGAAUGAUUAAAGAUAGCUCAAGAUAGGCAGAAAAGUUACUCGGAUAGACGGAGAAAAGAUUUGGAUUUUGAAGUUAAUGAUAGAGUUUUUCUUAAGGUUUCUCCUUGGAAAGGUAAUGAUUUGAAUACUCUGAGGUAUUAAGUCUUAUUUGAUUAUACUAUUGUGGUAAAUUGUGAUAUCUAGUUGGAUAAUGAAAGGUGUGAUUCGGUUUGCAAAGCUGAGAAAGCUCAAUUCGAAAUACAUUGGACCUUUUCGUAUCAUUGAAAGGAUUGAGCUAGUGACAAUAUAGACUAGAAUUACCCCCAAAGUUGGAUCAGAUUCAUAAUAUCUUCCACGUUUCAAUGUUGAAGAAGUAUGUACCUGAUCCCUCCCAUAUCCUCGAGGCACCUCCGAUUGAGUUACAGGAAAAUUUGAAGUUCGAGGUGCAACUUGUACGUAUUCUAGAUUGAAAGGAUCGAGUGUUGAGGAAUAAGAACAUUCCAAUGGUUAAGGUGUUGUGGAAGAAUGCUCGGAUGGAAGAAAUGACGUGCGAAGUUAAGCAUCAGAUGAGAAGCCAAUACCCCAAUCUUUUCUCCUAGUUCGGUAAGUGAAAUUUUGAUGUCAAAAUUUUAUUUUAAGGGGGGUAGUGCUGUCAAGCCCAGCUCUAUAAUAUACUUGCCAUGUCAUUCAUGUACUUGAUAGCAAGUCUGCAUCUAAGUAUGUAGAUGCCUCAGAGAAUUGUUAAAAAUCGGUUUCGUACCUAAUGGUACAAUUAAGUCGAUUAAAACCUUAAACAAGUUUGAAUAGAGAUUUAAGAUUUAUUUGAGAGUUAUUGAACCUUAGAAUGUCUUAAUAUGGUGAUUUGGAGUUCGAAGAUUGAUUUGGAGUUCAAUUGGAAAUUUUUAUAACGUAAGGGCAAAAUGGUCAUUUUGCCACUCGAGGGCUAAAUUGGAAUGUUGGAUGAGAGUUUUGACCAAGUUUGACUAUUUGGAGCAUAAUUUGAAAUUGUGGAGUGAAAAAUUUCAAUUUCGAUAUUUUUCGAGUAUAAGGGCAAAACGGUCAUUUCGCGUGUCAAUGAGGACGUAACUGAAAUUUUACACCACCAUGACACUUGUCAAGCCCAUGAAUUUCACCUAUUAUCACUUUAUACUUUGGAUAAUUAUGAGAUUAUAUGUGGUGGUGAGAAAAUGCUUAAUUGUUAAGUUUUAACCAUGGACCAAUCACAUGGUGACACAUGUCAAGUUUCAAUAUUUUUAUAAUUGCCUUUAUAAAUUCAACACAAACUCUCCAAUUUCAUUCUUCAUGGUCAGCCAAAGCAAAGAACAAAGGGAAAAGAAUAAGAACAAACCCUAGAGAGGAAAAUUCAAGAGAAAAUUGUUGAAUUUCAAGGAACCAAGCAAUCAAAGGUAAGAUUUUUUAAUUUUAGCUUAAGAUCUAUCUUACCCAUGCUUUUUUUUUCAUUUUCUAUGGAUGAAACACAGGUUUCCAUGAGGGAAUACAUGCUGGCCGAACAUUGGGAGAGAGGUUUUGAUGAUGAAUUUUGCUAGAUUUCAUGAUAUCUUAAUGUUUUUAGUUGUUUGAUGAUGUUUGGCAUGAAAAACUAGCAAGAAAAUCACGUGCCCUUCAAAAACCCUCUUUGGCCGAAUUUAUUAGGUGACAUGUUGAUGAUGGAUUUUGAUGUGUUUCAUCUUAUUUAGCUUGUAGUUGAUGAUUUAUGGUAUCGGAUAUCGAAAUCGAAAUAAAUUUCGAUUACGGUGAAUUAAGUCACAAUUAAGCUCAUUGAGGUACUUUGGUGUAUUUGGAAUAUUGGAAGUGUAAUGAAGAUAUUUG
rnacentral:lncRNA from 1 species